rnacentral:rRNA from 1 species
GCUUACGGCCACACCACCCUGAACACGCCCGAUCUCGUCCGAUCUCUCGAAGCUAAGCAGGGCCGGGCCUGGUAAGUACUUGGAUGGGGACCGCCUGGAAUACCAGGUGCUGUAAGUU